GACGAACGCUGGCGGCGUGCUUAACACAUGCAAGUCGAACGGAAAGGCCCUGCUUUUGUGGGUUGCUCGAUUGGCGAACGGGUGAGUAACACGUGAGUAACCUGCCCUUGACUUUGGGAUAACUUCAGGAAACUGGGGCUAAUACCGGAUAGGAGCUCCUGCUGCAUGUUGGGGGUUGGAAAGUUUCAGCGGUUGGGGAUGGACUCGCGGCUUAUCAGCUUGUUGGUGGGGUAGUGGCUUACCAAGGCUUUGACGGGUAGCCGGCCUGAGAGGGUGACCGGCCACAUUGGGACUGAGAUACGGCCCAGACGCCAACGGGAGGCAGCAGUGGGGAAUAUUGCACAAUGGGGGGAAGCCAGAUGCAGCAACGCCGCGUGCGGGGUGACGGCCUUCGGGUUGUAAACCGAUGUCGCAUGUGACGAAGAGUGAGUGACGGUAAUGGGUAAAGAAGCAACGGCUAACUACGUG
rnacentral:rRNA from 1 species